rnacentral:rRNA from 1 species
AUUGAACGCUGGCGGCAGGCCUAACACAUGCAAGUCGAACGAGUGGCGGACGGGUGAGUAAUGUCUGGGAAACUGCCUGCUGGCGGGGGAUAACUACUGGAAACGGUAGCUAAUACCGCAUACCAUCAGAUGUGCCCAGAUGGGAUUAGCUUGUUGGUGGGGUAACGGCUAACCAAGGCGACGAUCCCUAGCUGGUCUGCGAGGAUGACCAGCCACGCUGGAACUGAGACACGGUCCAGACUCCUACGGUAGGCAGCAGUGGGGAAUAUUGCACAAUGGGCGCAAGCCUGCUGCAUCCAGGCCGCGUGUAUGAAGAAGGCCUUCGGGUUUAAAAGUACUUUCAGCGGGGAGGCGUUACCCGCAGAAGAAGCACCGGCUAACUCCGUGCCAGCCACCGCGGUAAUUC